rnacentral:rRNA from 1 species
CGGAGGGGGCAAGCGUUAUUCGGAAUCAUUGGGCGUAAAGGGCGCGUAGGCGGCCUGGCAAGUCAAAGGUGAAAUCCCUCGGCCCAACCGAGGAACCGCCUUUGAAACUGCAAGGCUUGAGGCCGGGAGAGGGUAGCGGAAUUCCCAGUGUAGCGGUGAAAUGCGUAGAUAUUGGGAGGAACACCAGUGGCGAAGGCGGCUACCUGGACCGGUUCUGACGCUGAGGCGCGAAAGCGUGGGGAGCAAACAGGAUUAGAUACCCUGGUAGUCCACGCUGUAAACGAUGGGUACUCGGUGUCGCGGGUAUCGACCCCUGCGGUGCCUUAGCUAACGCGUUAAGUACCCCGCCUGGGGAGUACGGUCGCAAGGCUG